AUCUCUAUCACUCGCAUUGACAACUCCUCUCUAAUCACCUGCAACCAACUUUGCAAUAUCCACAAUGAAUAAAAUGUUAUUAAGGAAAAUAAAGCUUCCACGAGGCGAACAAUUUUUCUGGCUUAGGCGGUCGGCUGAACUUCAAAUAAAUUUUGCCCCGAUGAAGAUGAUAAAGUGGAUGGCGACCAUUGAAGCCAGAGUUCUUAAAUUCACUUGGCGGAUUGCGAGGACGGCUCCUUCCAACCGAACAUUCUUUGGACGUUUGGCCAUUUGGCUUUAUUGCGCGUUCAAAGAGAAGGGGAUUUCGAAUUCGCUCAAAUGUUGAACGGUACAGAACAAAGCAACGGUGUUGAAUGAAGCAUCCACUAGGUAUUAUCGCAACGCAGCAGCAAGUACUAGUACCUACGCGGUUUUAUAACAAAGCUUUAGCGCAUUUAUUAAACAACAAAUUAGUUGUACACAAUUCGAACGCUAAAUAAAAUCAAUGCGAAAUGCCAACCGGA